rnacentral:snoRNA from 1 species
GUGUCUCUUACCUCGCUCGGUCGAACGCUGUCCAUCGAUUGAUCUUGAGCUGGAUGCAGUCCAUCGUUAUCGAUGGUCUUUGCAUGAGACAAGAGCAAUGCACAUUUAGCACUUGCUGAUCUUUGAGUACGAUCCCAUCUUCUUCGAGUGGUGGGUUAUUGUAAUUUAUGCGGCCAGACAU